rnacentral:rRNA from 1 species
UACGUAGGAGACGAGCGUUGUCCGGAAUCACUGGGCGUAAAGCGCGUGUAGGCGGAUCGGCAAGUCUGCUGUGAAAGCUCCUGGCUUAACCGGGAGUGGUCGGUGGAACUGCCAGUCUGGAGGACGGUAGAGGUAGGUAGAAUUCCCGGUGUAGUGGUGAAAUGCGUAGAGAUCGGGAGGAAUACCUGUGGCGAAGGCGGCCUACUGGGCCGGACCUGACGCUGAGACGCGAAGGCGUGGGAGCGAACGGG